rnacentral:hammerhead_ribozyme from 1 species
CAGCUGACGAGUUCCAAAUAGGACGAAACGCGCGUCCUG